GACACACACACUCCAACGACCACUGCCUUUCUUUGUUUGACAGUUGUCUGUUUUCUUGAUUUUCAGGAAGGCUAAUGUGUAGGCAGAGGAUGUGUUCAUAUAUGUACUAUGAUCCCUGUACUCAACCCACAAGGGAUUUUGAGCCCGCCUCUGACCAAAAUAUCUGCUUUUUUUUUUUUUUUUCCCCUGGGACACAGAGUCUUGCUCUGCCACCCAGGCUGGAGUACAGUGGCAUGAUCUCGGCUCACAGCAACCUCUGCUUCCCAGGUUCAAGUAAUUCUCCUGCCUCAGCUUCCUGAGUAGCUGGGAUUACAGGCAUAUGCCACCAUGCCCAGUUGAUUUUUGUAUUUUUAGUAGAGACAGGGUUUCACCA
rnacentral:lncRNA from 1 species